ACUGCUUUUCUUUGAAAUCCCUUAAUUGCGGAGCCCGUUAAUCACUGAUUAACGGGUUUUUUUAU
rnacentral:sRNA from 2 species